GUCCACGCCCUAAACGAUGUCAACUGGUUGUUGGGGGUUUGACACUCUCAGUAACGAAGCUAACGCGUGAAGUUGACCGCCUGGGGAGUACGGCCGCAAGGUUAAAACUCAAAGGAAUUGACGGGGACCCGCACAAGCGGUGGAUUAUGUGGAUUAAUUCGAUGCAACGCGAAAAACCUUACCUACCCUUGACAUGUCCUGGAGGCUCCAGAAAUGGGGCUGUGCCCGAAAGGGAACGGGAACACAGGUGCUGCAUGGCUGUCGU
rnacentral:rRNA from 1 species